rnacentral:rRNA from 1 species
AAACUAACAAGGAUUCCCCUAGUAACGGCGAGUGAAGCGGGAAGAGCUCAAAUUUGAAAUCUAGUAGCCUUCGGCUGCUCGAGUUGUAAUCUAGAGAAGUGUUUUCCGUGCCGGCCCAUGUACAAGUCCCUUGGAACAGGGCGUCAUAGAGGGUGAGAAUCCCGUCCUUGACAUGGACCCCCGGUGCUCUGUGAUACACUUUCAACGAGUCGAGUUGUUUGGGAAUGCAGCUCAAAAUGGGUGGUGAAUUCCAUCUAAAGCUAAAUAUUGGCGAGAGACCGAUAGCGAACAAGUACCGUGAGGGAAAGAUGAAAAGCACUUUGGAAAGAGAGUUAAACAGUACGUGAAAUUGUUGAAAGGGAAACGAUUGAAGUCAGUCAUGCUCUUUGGUAUUUAUAUCAUUGAGUGGGGUCAACAUCAGUUUUGAUCGAUGGAUAAAGGCACUAGGAAGGUAGCACUCUCGGGUGAACUUAUAGCCUAGCGUCAUAUACAUUGAUUGGGACUGAGGAACGCAGCAUGCCUUUAUGGCCGGGAUUCGUCCACGUACAUGCUUAGGAUGUUGACAUAAUGGCUUUAAACGACCCGUCUUGAAACACG